rnacentral:rRNA from 1 species
GCUGGCGGCGUGCUUAACACAUGCAAGUCGAACGGGAAUUACUUUAUUGAAACUUCGGUCGAUUUAAUUUAAUUCUAGUGGCGGACGGGUGAGUAACGCGUGGGUAACCUGCCUUAUACAGGGGGAUAACAGUCAGAAAUGGCUGCUAAUACCGCAUAAGCGCACAGAGCUGCAUGGCUCGGUGUGAAAAACUCCGGUGGUAUAAGAUGGACCCGCGUUGGAUUAGCUUGUUGGUGGGGUAACGGCCCACCAAGGCGACGAUCCAUAGCCGGCCUGAGAGGGUGAACGGCCACAUUGGGACUGAGACACGGCCCAGACUCCUACGGGAGGCAGCAGUGGGGAAUAUUGCACAAUGGGGGAAACCCUGAUGCAGCGACGCCGCGUGAAGGAAGAAGUAUCUCGGUAUGUAAACUUCUAUCAGCAGGGAAGAUAGUGACGGUACCUGACUAAGAAGCCCCGGCUAACUACGUGCCAGCAGCCGCGGUAAUACGUAGGGGGCAAGCGUUAUCCGGAUUUACUGGGUGUAAAGGGAGCGUAGACGGUGUGGCAAGUCUGAUGUGAAAGGCAUGGGCUCAACCUGUGGACUGCAUUGGAAACUGUCAUACUUGAGUGCCGGAGGGGUAAGCGGAAUUCCUAGUGUAGCGGUGAAAUGCGUAGAUAUUAGGAGGAACACCAGUGGCGA